GACGAACCGUGCGAACGUUGUUCGGAAUCACUGGGCUUAAAGGGCGCGUAGGCGGGCUCAAAAGUCAGGGGUGAAAUCCCACGGCUCAACCGUGGAACUGCUGGGUAUACUGGUUGUCUUGAGCCAGCUAGGGGCGAGCGGAACAGACGGUGGAGCGGUGAAAUGCGUAGAUAUCGUCUGGAACGCCGAAGGUGGAAACAGCUCGCUGGGGCUGCGCUGACGCUGAGACACGAAGCCAGGGAGCGA
rnacentral:rRNA from 1 species